GCCGAAGUGGCGGAACUGGCAGACGCGCUAGAUUCAGGUUCUAGUGAGCGCAAGCUCGUACAGGUUCGAGUCCUGCCUUCGGCA
rnacentral:tRNA from 1 species